AAACACAAUAAGAAAAAAAAAACAUUUCAGAUUCAAUUUCCAAAUUUCACUCACGUUCUCUCCAAAAGAACCCUAAUUUCGUUUUCCCCCAAUUUCUUCUUCCCUCAAUUUCUUGAUGAAAUCAUUUAGCUAGCAAUUCAACACAACGUUUUGGUGCUACAAUCGCAAUUCAAUUCAACGUUUCGGGGCUACAAUCGCAAUUCAUCUCAGCAUCGCAAAUUCAAAUCAGCAUCGCAACUCAACGUUUCGUAUUCUCGUAAUCGUUGGCUUCUUACUCGAUAUCAUUGGGUUGUUUAUAGCUAUCGCUUGACAUUGCUUUGAUUUCCAAGUUCUACAAAGCUAAAAAGGUUCUUUAACUUGAAGAUGAGCAAUGAUGAGAAUGGCAUGCAAAGAAGAGGUCGAAAGGUGAAGAAAUUGAGUGGCUCAAAUCAGUUGGAAUUCUCUUGUAGCUUAGGGACUUUGAUUUUAUGCAACUCGAAUUCAACUUGUUUCAACUUGGGAUAUGUAGCUAGUAGUCUAGUACUGUAUGUAAUCUUGAAUUUGAAUCUUGUUUCACUUAGAAAUUCUCUUUUGUAAUUCAAGAACUUGAUGUAAUUAAAAUCGAAAGAUUUGUACUAAUUUUGUAUCACUUUUUCUAAACUUAUUAACAUUAAUUAUGUCAUUUCAGACUAGUGUAUGUCUAGUUUACU